UUCCCUGCAAGUGGAGAUGUCACAAUUGAACUGGGAUGUGCUUAUAAUUUAGUAAACGUAAAGGUAAAAGUAGAUCGAGUAACUGUGAUUCUAUCAGAAGGAGUUUACAAGCAGAGGACAUCCUUUGAGUUUGACAAUCUUCUCUGGCCUUUUGGCUUUUCCUCUACAAAAGAAUCUAAAAGAAAAUCAAGCACAGAAUUGGAAAAAAUGACAACCUUGGAGCUGUAUGAUCUCUCCGACCCGAAUAGAAAAAGUUACACUUGCCUUCAAGCACAAUUCUGCCAUAUCAGGAAGGCAGUUCAUAAUCAAAGGCAAUGCACUGGACCGUGAAAUAGUACUAAUCAUGGGAUAUGACUUGACGCCUGAUCAUUUUCGUACCAAUUUCUUACUUUCAUGGUCUAAAGAUGAGAGAAUAGCAUUUGAUAUUAAUUGGAAGGAUAUUU